UACGUAGGGUGCAAGCGUUAAUCGGAAUUACUGGGCGUAAAGCGUGCGCAGGCGGUUGUGCAAGACCGAUGUGAAAUCCCCGGGCUCAACCUGGGAAUGGCAUUGGUGACUGCACGGCUAGAGUGUGUCAGAGGGGGGUAGAAUUCCACGUGUAGCAGUGAAAUGCGUAGAGAUGUGGAGGAAUACCGAUGGCGAAGGCAGGUCUCUGGGCUGACACUGACGCUCAUGCACGAAAGCGUGGGGAGCAAACAGG
rnacentral:rRNA from 1 species